UCCCUCGUGGCGCAAUUGGCUAGCGCGUAAGCAUCUCCGGCUCGUUUUCGAAACAAUCAUCGUUCUAAUUAUCAUCCAGGUUCGACUGUUACAAAGCAGAUAAUCGAGAGGUUGGUGGUUCGAGCCCACCCGAGGGAG